rnacentral:tRNA from 1 species
GCCGGAGUGACGGAAUGGCAGACGUAGCAGACUCAAAAUCUGCCAAGGGUCACCCCUUGUGUGGGUUCGACUCCCACCUCCGGCACAA